AGCAGCAGCCGCGGUAAAACGUAGGUGGCGAGCGUUGUCCGGAAUUAUUGGGCGUAAAGGGAGCGCAGGCGGGCGAGUAAGUCUUUCUUAAAAGUGCGGGGCUCAACCCCGUGAGGGGAGAGAAACUACUCAUCUUGAGUGCAGGAGAGGAAAGCGGAAUUCCUAGUGUAGCGGUGAAAUGCGUAGAUAUAUGGAGGAACACCGGUGGCGAAAGCGGCUCUCUGGCUUGUAACUGACGCUGAGGCUCGAAAGCGUGGGGAGCAAACAGGAUUAGAUACCCGCGUAGUCCCUGUCUCUUAUACC
rnacentral:rRNA from 1 species